rnacentral:lncRNA from 1 species
CUUUUACAUGCUGAGAUUUUUAUUGAGCAUUAACAGUUUUCAGGUGAUAUGGCACAUAAGAACAAGCACAGGCAAAAUAGAAUUAAGACCAGGUUGUUUGAAGUGUGUGUUGUGUAUAUAUUUAGUAUUGACCAUCCGUUAAGCAUAAUGUUAAAUGUUAAAGUUGCGUCCAACAGAAACAAUGGGUAAAGUUAGAGGAUUUUAUGUAUUUAGAUACAAGUUCUAAAAUGUCGUAUGCUCUGUUCUCAAGAACCCCCUCAAGUGUGAUCCCAGUGAAACAAAAAUAUGUGUUUCAAUAAUAUCGUGACAUGGAGCACGUUUGGUCAAACUAGGCCUCGCAGA